AGCUUUGCGCAGUGGCAGUAUCGUAGCCAAUGAGGUUUAUCCGAGGCGCGAUUAGUGCUGAUUGAAAAUGCCAGAAAGGAAUUUAUGAAGGGGUGGCUUUAUUUUGCUCCUUCAAACGUGAAUGAUGUUAGAAGAU
rnacentral:snRNA from 1 species